rnacentral:rRNA from 1 species
UUGGAGGGCAAGUCUGGUGCCAGCAGCCGCGGUAAUUCCAGCUCCAAUAGCGUAUAUUAAAGUUGUUGCAGUUAAAAAGCUCGUAGUUGAAUUUCGGGGUCAGUAGGUUGGUCAUGCCACUGGUAUGUACUGGUCUCACUGAUUCCUCCUUCCUGAUGAACUGUAAUGCCAUUAAUUUGGUGUUGCAGGGAAUCUGGACUGUUACUUUGAAAAAAUUAGAGUGUUUAAAGCAGGCUAACGCCUGAAUACAUUAGCAUGGAAUAAUGAAAUAGGACGUUCGAUCCUAUUUUGUUGGUUUCUAGGAUCGACGUAAUGAUUAAUAGGGAUAGUUGGGGGCAUUAGUAUUCAAUUGUCAGAGGUGAAAUUCUUUGAUUUAUUGAAGACUAACUACUGCGAAAGCAUUUGCCAAGGAUGUUUUCAUUAAUCAAGGACGAAAGUUAGGGGAUCGAAGACGAUCAGAUACCGUCGUGGUCUUAACCAUAAACUAUGCCGACUAGGGAUCGGACGAAGUUAAUUUUAUAAUGACGCGUUCGGCGCCUUAAAGACUGGGAA